rnacentral:rRNA from 1 species
AGUGAACGCUGGCGGUAGGCCUAACAGAUGCAGGUCGAACGGCAGCACAGUAAGAGCUUGCUCUUACGGGUGGCGAGUGGCGGACGGGUGAGGAAUACAUCGGAAUCUACUUUUUCGUGGGGGAUAACGUAGGGAAACUUACGCUAAUACCGCAUACGACCUACGGGUGAAAGCAGGGGAUCUUCGGACCUUGCGCGAUUGAAUGAGCCGAUGUCGGAUUAGCUAGUUGGCGGGGUAAAGGCCCACCAAGGCGACGCUCCGUAGCUGGUCUGAGAGGAUGCCCAGCCACACUGGAACUGAGACACGGUCCAGACUCCUACGGGAGGCAGCAGUGGGGAAUAUUGGACAAUGGGCGCAAGCCUGAUCCAGCCAUACCGCGUGGGUGAAGAAGGCCUUCGGGUUGUAAAGCCCUUGCGUCGGGAAAGAAAAGCAGCAGGUUAAUACCCCGCUGUUCUGACGGUACCCAAAGAAUAAGCACCGGCUAACUUCGUG